CGGGGGGCGGGGGUCCGGUGGAAUCGUCCGCGCCUGCUGCUGGAGGGGAGCGGGGCCCUAGGGAGCAAGCGGCGGGCACGGGGAGGGCGCUGCGAGGAUCCGUGGUAUACGGGAAAGUAAGCUGAUCUGACAGAAACUUCAACCAUGAGAUUUUUCAGAAAGUGAGCCUGAAAACUAAAAUUCCACCUUCUGAUCAGAGUUUAAAGGAAGACAUACCGAUGACUUCCUUGGCACUUCCUGGAAGACACUGUCACCAACAAGGUUUAACAACUACCACUCUUCAGUCAAAACCUCUCUGGAACACUUCUACAUUAACUUCAACUUCAUAGAUACUAUCAUAUAAGGCAUCCUACAAACUGCUACAUACAGAACACCCUUGGAUCACUACACUUAUGUACACAAAAUCAGCAAUCAUCCCAAACACAUAGAAAAAGUGGUUAUCUACAAUCAAGCCCUCACCGCUUCUACUCUGAGGAGAACACUCGUGACACCCAUCCUGUCACUCUGAAAACUGCCUUUGCCAAGCAAGGAUACUCCAGCAGAGAAAUAGUCCAUAUUUUUGAAAGACUCACCCAAAUACCCUGAAGCAAACUACUGCAAUACAGGAGAAACACCCCCUACUGACUGCACACCCUUUGUUGUCACCUAUUAUACUUGAACCUAUAAGAAAGAUCAUCAACCAACUACAGCUUAUAAUUGAAAAGUACCAGACCUUGAGAACCCAACCCCCACCUGCAGCAUCUGGCCUUCAGAUAGCCCCCUAACCUUGCCCAAUUCAUCAUUAGAAGUAAACUCCCUGCUGAUCAAAAUGGGUCACAGCCCAGCCUUAGCAAUAAAUAUAAGACCUGUCAACACAUCUCUGCUCUUACAAGACUCAACACUCACCACAACAAAACCAUCAGAAUCCAUGGAUCAUACACGUCUAUCCCAGAAUGUGCUAUACCUCAUUUAGUGCGCCAAUGCCCUCUUGCCGACUCUGUGAGUAAAAACAGACAAAAACUAUGAACGAACGAUCAACAAAAAUGAUAAAAGGUGGAGACAUUCUAAGAAGGGUAAGAGAACAUCUUUCAUAGAAAAAAAAAAAUCACUCCCUGUCUGACCUCAUGGUUCUUCUGCUUCAAGGAAGUCUACCCAAUCCCUUUACAAGAGGAGCAAGGGAGCAGGCCUAUUGGAUACUAAGUACCACAGGUUUAACAUAGACAAUGACUUCAUGGUCAAUUAUAAUCUGCUUGAUAGUCACAGAUUCACAGAAGUUUAGGGCUGGAAGGGACCUCGUGAGAUCAUCAGGUCCAGCCCCCCUGCUCUGGGCAGGAAAGACUGCUAGGGUCAAAUAACCCCAGCAAUUGAUAUUAAUUUUUAAUCCAGGGCCAAAGAAAUCUAUCAUCACAUACCAAACUGAGAUAGUAUAUGUGCAAGCCCUUCCUAGUUGAAAUUGUAUUUACUUUCCUAAUCUGAUUAUGGGUUUAACCAAAUUUGCCUUUUAAAUCAAUCAUCUCUGCGCUUCACAGGAGGUAACAGCUCUCCUGAACAAUCCCAUUCUUCCAUUAUCAGGUGUUUAUUGCAUCUCUCUUGCCUGUUGGCUACCUGAUGUUUCUUGUAUCCUGGUUUUACUGACACGGGCUGCGAGCAGAUGUUAAAACAAACAAACAAACAAACCAACCAACCGUGUUUUACUGGAAGAAGCAGCACAUUACUUCAGCCUGGCUCUGCAGCCUCUGUAUAGAUUGGGUGCUUCUGAGGGUUUUUUGGCACUUUUAUCUAAUAGCUGAUUAGAUAAAAAGACCCACUAAAGGGAUCUUUUAUGCCCAGUCUAUACAGCUGUUGGGUGAGCCAGGUUCAGUUAACACACUGCCUCUUCUGGGCAUGUGUUGGGUUCAGUGCGGGGGUGCACCGAGUUUUAAGUGAAGUGCCAGUUAUUUUUGUUUGUUUUUUAACAUCUGCAAGCAGCCAUGGAGUUUCACAUAAACUUCUGUUCCACCUGCUAUUUAGCUGUAUUGUGUUUGUUUUUCUCUCAGAAGCCUGAAGAAGGGUAUUGUGAUACCCAAAAACUUGCCUAUGUCAAUCCCAACCGUGCAGUUGGUCCAAUAAAAGAUAUCACACACAAGAAUUUUUGCAUCUUGUAAACAAAAACAUAGACAUUUGGAGUCUGUUCCAACACCUGUGAAAUCAAAAGAAAGAUCCUCAUUGAUUUCAGUGGGCAACACCAAGAACAAUGGCAUAAAGGAAGGUCUCUUGCAGUUGUGUGAACAUGUGUAGGAAUGAAUUGGCUUAAAUAAUCCAGCAACCAGGUCUCUUCCAGCCAAAUCAUUUAUCCUUAUUUGUUACAGAAAGUAGAGGCAGCUCUUUCUAGACACAAACAAAGUACUUUUUCACAAGAUGAUGAAGAUGACAUAGCAUCUUGUGUAGGCGUGCCCAGUUAGUACAGGGAAAGAUCUUUUUGCCUUCAUUCUGCCUUUCCAAAAAUGUUCAUAUCUUUUUCUGGGGCACGCGUAGGUAAGAAAAUAUGCUACAUUCAGUGUUAAAAAACAUGAGGGUGUUUGUCAGCAUAAGUUCAUGUAAGUCAAACAGCAAGGGUUUGAUUCUCAUUUACAUUCAUACUUUGUAGUGUGAGUGUUAAGAGUCCUCAGUUUAUACAGACUAGUUUAAACUAGGGCAGCCCCCACAGGACCAGUACAACAGCAGUAGCAUCUAUCAGGAGAUGCAGGAAAGAGGCAAGAGGUCUCUCACACACACACCCUGUCACAGAAGUGUAAAGUCAAGUCCCAUCUAUGUCACAUCCUGGAUGGGUCUUAAAAACGUUAAAGAAAAGAAAACAAGGUGAAGACCAAAACCCACUACAUCCUGUGGAUUAUAUUCCUUUGUCAGCUUUAAGACAAAAUGGGGAAAAAUACACAAUAUUC